rnacentral:lncRNA from 1 species
GAGAAAUUGUGUUGCUUGGAUGUCAGACAGACUCAGCUUCAAAUUCUGCUGUGAUCACUUCCCAGUUCCCUAAGCUUGGAGACCAUUCUGAAUAAAGAGAUGAUCCAGAGUUGUGCUGACAGUAGCUCUUGUGGAGAUAAAGAAAACUGGCUGGAUAAUGAUGAAGACAUUUCAAGGACAUCCCUAGAAUGCAAUAGCUUUCUCUCUGGGUUUUCUAUGAGAAAAAACUGCAGUGCACAUGUGGCACCCAGAAAGUGGAA